rnacentral:rRNA from 1 species
AUUGAACGCUGGCGGCAUGCUUUACACAUGCAAGUCGAACGGCAGCGCGGGGCAACCUGGCGGCGAGUGGCGCACGGGUGAGUAAUAUAUCGGAACGUACCCAAGAGUGGGGGAUAACGUAGCGAAAGUUACGCUAAUACCGCAUACGAUCUAAGGAUGAAAGUGGGGGAUCGCAAGACCUCAUGCUCCUGGAGCGGCCGAUAUCUGAUUAGCUAGUUGGUGAGGUAAAGGCUCACCAAGGCGACGAUCAGUAGCUGGUCUGAGAGGACGACCAGCCACACUGGAACUGAGACACGGUCCAGACUCCUACGGGAGGCAGCAGUGGGGAAUUUUGGACAAUGGGCGCAAGCCUGAUCCAGCAAUGCCGCGUGAGUGAAGAAGGCCUUCGGGUUGUAAAGCUCUUUUGUCAGGGAAGAAACGGUAGAGGCUAAUAUCCUUUGCUAAUGACGGUACCUGAAGAAUAAGCACCGGCUAACUACGUG